UCAGUAACGGCGAGUGAAGCGGUAACAGCUCAAAUUUGAAAUCUGGCCUCACGGUCCGAGUUGUAAUUUGUAGAGGAUGCUUCGAGCAUGGUCUGGCCUAAGUUCCUUGGAACAGGACGUCAUAGAGGGUGAGAAUCCCGUAUGCGGCCAGGUGCCUACGCUCAUGUGAAGCUCCUUCGACGAGUCGAGUUGUUUGGGAAUGCAGCUCAAAAUGGGUGGUAAAUUUCAUCUAAAGCUAAAUAUUGGCCAGAGACCGAUAGCGCACAAGUAGAGUGAUCGAAAGAUGAAAAGCACUUUGGAAAGAGAGUUAAACAGUACGUGAAAUUGUUGAAAGGGAAGCGCUUGCAACCAGACUUGCGCGCGGCCGAUCAUCCGGUGUUCUCACCGGUGCACUCGGCCGUGCUCAGGCCAGCAUCGGUUUUGGCGGCUGGAUAAAGGCCCUAGGAAUGUAGCUCCUCUCGGGGAGUGUUAUAGCCUAGGGUGCAAUGCAGCCUGCUGGGACCGAGGACCGCGCUUCGGCUAGGAUGCUGGCGUAAUGGUUGUAAGCGGCCCGUCUUGAAACACGGACCAAGGAGUCUAACAUCUAUGCGAGUGUUUGGGUGUCAAACCCAUACGCGUAAUGAAAGUGAACGGAGGUGAGAACCCUUAAGGGUGCAUCAUCGACCGGUCCUGAAGUUUACGGAAGGAUCUGAGUAAGAGCAUAGCUGUUGGGACCC
rnacentral:rRNA from 1 species